rfam:Nasonia vitripennis unplaced genomic scaffold ChrTn_0372, whole genome shotgun sequence.
CAAUCGGCCCUUUUCAGGGCCACCACAUUAUAAUAACGUAGUCUAA